AAAGAGUUCUAUAUCUAUUACUAUCUCCUGGCCAAAUGUAUGAAAAAGGCAGGUCCAAAAUGCCUUAAAUAUGAAAUAGAACAUGAUGUAAUAAAUAUAUGUAUAUUGGUGAAUAUGCCUGCUUUGAAGUAUAGGAAUUGUGUACUGGUGCUGACUCUACAGUAAAUACAGUAGAAAAUGGUCACUUUUCACCUAAUAAAGCACUGUACUGUGCAGAUGACCAUGCCCUUUUCUGCACAGCUGUGAGGUCUUUCCAGCACAUUGUUGCUAUUGGAUGCAUGCCCAAAUGUGAUUCAGCUGCCAUGCAGUGAAUUGCUACAAUUCUACCACCAGCACAAAAUCUGGAAUACACAUACAAUGUAACUUUGCUGGGAUAUUUACUUGACAGUCUGUUGAAGUCUACUUGGCACCAUUUUCUAUUCUAGAGGUUCCACAUGCAGCUUAUGGCCAAGUUGAUUGUAGCCAAGGUUGAUGUUUCAGCCUAUUUUGGCAGUUACAAACAUGCUCACAAAUAAAAUGAAAGAAAAAAGAAAGAACGAGCGGAGGUGGUGGAGUGAAGGUAUACUGAAAUUCAUCUUUCUCUAUAGUCUCAGCAGCAUUUUGGAAGCUGCUGAUUCUGGGUGUCUUACAGUUAAAAAGCAAGAACCAUAACCCCACCCCAAAAAAGGGAGGGAACCGCUGCAUAAAGUGUCUGAAGAUAAACCCAUUCAACAAGGGCUUUAUCUUCUACCUGCCCUAAGAACUAUUUCAAUGAAAUCAAGACCUACAGUGUAUUAUGCACACCAAGAAAAAUGGUUUAACUCAAUAACAUCAUUAAUAAAGUUUGCCUGUACCA